UACGUAGGGGGCAAGCGUUGUCCGGAUUUACUGGGCGUAAAGAGCGUGUAGGCGGCCAUGCAGGUCCGUUGUGAAAACUGGAGGCUUAACCUCCAGACGUCGACGGAAACCGCGUGGCUAGAGUCCGGAAGAGGAGAGUGGAAUUCCUGGUGUAGCGGUGAAAUGCGUAGAUAUCGUAAGGAAGACCAGUGGCGAAGGCGGGUCUCUGGACAGUUCCUGACGCUGAGGCACGAAGGUCAGGGGAGCAAACGGG
rnacentral:rRNA from 1 species